CUGCAGCCCGAGUGGUGAUCGAUUUUAUUGAGCCUAAAGCGUCCGUAGCCGGUCUAGUAAACCCUUGGGUAAAUUGGGCAGCUUAACUGUCCGAAUUCCGAGGGGACUGCUAGUCUUGGGACCGGGAGAGGUCAGAGGUACUCAAGGGGUAGGGGCUAAAUCCUGUAAUCCUUUGGGGACCACCAGUGGCGAAGGCGUCUGACUAGAACGGAUCCGACGGUAAGGGACGAAACCCUGGGGCGCGAUCCGGAUUAGAUACCCGAGUAGUCC
rnacentral:rRNA from 1 species